rnacentral:rRNA from 1 species
UACGUAGGGGGCAAGCGUUGUCCGGAAUCAUUGGGCGUAAAGCGCGUGUAGGCGGCUGACUAAGUCCGCUCUGAAAGCCCGGGGCUCAACCCCGGGAGGCGGGUGGAUACUGGUCAGCUCGAGUCCGGAAGAGGAGUGUGGAAUUCCUGGUGUAGCGGUGAAAUGCGCAGAUAUCAGGAGGAACACCAAUGGCGAAGGCAGCACUCUGGGACGGUACUGACGCUGAGGCGCGAAAGCCAGGGAGCAAACGGG